AUGCCAGAUCCGGGGAAAGAGCUCGGAACCGGGGAGCCGACUGGGCAGGCUCCCGGGGCUACUGAGGCGGGAGGAGGCAGCGGGUUGAAAGGAGGAAUGCCCGGCCGGCUGGCAGAGCCCUCUCUCUCCUCAGCUCCCACGCUGGCGGGCAGGGGAAGGGUCUGCCUGACCCCGGGCCCCGCUGCGGACCGAGGGCCUGAGGAGGGGCUUCCCAGCUUUGGCAGCCCCUUGACAAGGGGGAGCCCGCGGGAAAAGAGCUGGAAGGGGGGUCCGGCCCCUGAUAGAGGGUUCCGGGCCCCAGCGCCGCCGUCUCCCAGUUUGAGGGUCCGGGAAGACCUCGACUGGAGGAUCCCACCCAGAGAAGGGGGCUUGCCAGCCCCAGAGCCGCCCCCUCGGACUAGGGGCUCAGAAGACAGAACCGGCAGGGGGAGGGGGCUUUUCUGCGCCAGCGCCUCCUCUCGUUUCACGGAGGUCUGUCCCGGAGAGGGCCUGGAUUGGGGGUGCGUCUUGCCGAGGGACCGGGCGCACCGGCCUCGGAAAGGGGGUCGGGGCCACCGCGCGCCACCCCCGCGCCCUCACCUGCGCCCGGCGCCUCGGCCGCCCCGGCCCGCUCGGCCGCCGCGCUGCGCCGCCGCCGCCGCUCGGGUCCGCACGCAGGUCCGCCCGCCUAGGCCCCGGCCCCGGCCCCGGCCCGCGGGCGCCCCAUGCCUCUCCUCCGGCCGGCGCGGCGCCCCAGAUGCGGCUGCGGGAGGAGGAGCCGCGCGGCCCCGCUCCCCGAGAGCGGCGGGGAGGGGGCGGGGGGCGGGGAGAGGCGCGGGGGAGGGGGCCGCGCGGCUGCGCCCAAAACCAGGCGCGGAUCCGGCCGCCGGCCUGGGGCUGGGGGAGUCGGGGGCGCGCCGCUUCCAGCGCCCACCCCCACCCACGCCCCCGCAACCCGCGGGGUGGGGGAGGGUCUCAGCGGCCAGCGACGCUCGGUCGCGAGCCGGAAGGGCGCUUAGAGAUCCGCGCUCGGCCGCCCAGAGAGAGCAGGUACUGGCACAAGGUCACACAGCGCGGGCUGCCGUAGCGCGGGAACCUGGAACCUGA
rnacentral:lncRNA from 1 species